CCCGCGCCUGGGGCUCCUCCCCUGAGUCGCCGCGGCCGCGGUCCUCCUGGCUGCGGGCGGUCGCGAGGCUCGGCGCGUGAGCCCAGCCCCGGGGUGGGAGGAAGCCCGAGCUUCUGGGUGUGACUUGCGUAACUGUCCAGACCGAAAAGAAACAAAUGAGUUGGAGAGUGUACUUUGUCUUCAGUUACACUGAGCUGUCUACCUCAGGCAUCUUCAAAAAACAAGAAAACCUAUAAAAGAGGAAUCUGAUGCUUAAUCUAAAGGGUGCUCAGGGCAAGAUCUGUUUAUCUUAAACCAUCAGUGCAGCCUUUAUGAUAUAUAAAUAAACUAUAUAUAUAUAUAGAUAAGGCUGUCAUGCUGUAAUAUUGCCCUGCUGCAGUUCUUCAAGGCAUAUUGCAAAUUCCUCAGCAUCUUUACUCAGUACAUCCUUAGAUUACCAGUACAUUAUAAAAGGUUAUCUUAGGAACAUCCAGAUGCAAGAAAUGCAUAGGGCAAGUUGUGUGGGAAGGGGAAUCAGAGCUUCCACUCUCUGAGUGUGCCACUUUUCCUAGUGGCCAUAUGUUUACUAACCCAGAGGUUCUCCUGAUUUAUUUAUUUAUUUAUUCUAUGUAGGCCUCCUUUCAUAUUUUGUCCUUUUUGCUAAAGCCUAAUUUUACCAGGAAGCUUAUUUAUUCAUAUUAGCAUCUUUAUGCUUGAAUAUUUGUAAUUAUUAUAGUGUGUAAUUUUUGCCAACACCCACCUUCUUAAAUAGUCUUCCCUUUAAGAAUCUCUGGUGUAAUAGAAAAUAUGUAUACUGAAUAUGUUUAUAUAUAUAUGUAUUAAUAAAUACAUAAAACACUCAACCCUUGAGGAAUAAGACAAGUGAGGAAAGAUUUUUACUUUUCACUUAAUAUCUUUGGAGGGAUACUUUUUAAAAAAGAUUUAUUUGAGAGAGACAGUGAGCAAGAGAGAGCACAUGAGCAGGGGC